GAGAACUUUACUCUCGAAAUCGAUAACCCUAGUUUCACGACCGAGGAGGGAGAAGCCGUUUUCUCUGGGUUUUCGCUCUUUCUCACUUCUUCUUCAGGUAGUUGAGCGAUGUCGCGUGUGUACGUUGGUAAUUUGGAUCCGCGAGUUACUGAGCGUGAACUCGAGGAUGAGUUUCGUGUCUAUGGAGUGAUCAGGAGUGUUUGGGUUGCAAGAAGACCACCUGGUUACGCUUUUCUUGAUUUCGAAGACUCAAGGGAUGCUCGCGACGCCAUCCGUGAUUUAGAUGGCAAGAAUGGAUGGAGGGUAGAGCAGUCUCAUAACCGAGGUGGUGGUGGAGGCCGUGGAGGAGGUGGUGGUGGUCGUGGAGGAGGUGAUGGUGGUCGUGGCCGUGGUGGUUCUGAUCUGAAGUGCUAUGAGUGUGGCGAGUCUGGUCACUUUGCACGUGAAUGCCGCUCUCGUGGUGGCUCGGGGAGGCGUCGCAGUCCUUCUCCUCGUGGUCGCAGCCGUAGUCGCAGUCCAAGAUACAGAAAGAGCCCAACCUAUGGAGGACGCAGGAGUUACAGCCCUCGAGCAAGAUCUCCUCCUCCUCCAAGGCGUCGCAGCCCUUCUCCUCGUGGUCGCAACUACAGUAGGUCACCACCACCUUAUAGAGGACGUGAGGAGGUGCCAUAUGCUAACGGAAAUGGCCUGAAAGAUGUGCGCAGAAGCCGGAGCUGAUCUAGAUAGCAAGUUAUGGGAUCGAGAAGCGACUGUUUGCUUGUGACGUCAAGAAGACAGCUUAUGGAGAAAUUAGUAUCUGUGAAUUUCACUAAGAGAACAUGUUUUAGCUAUGGGAUGGAUUGGAUAUGCUUGCUACUUUUGAAUUGCUGGGAUGCUUCUUUUUUGCGUUUGGAUUUGAAGCCGUAGUUGUAUCUGCCGUUAGGUAACGUACUUUUAAAAUUUCCUACCCAAGUUCUUAAAAGACCUAAACAUAAAGUCUGCUAAAAAAACUAUGGAUUUCUAUGUUUUUCAUUGUGGUUUGUUUUAUGGUUGUCGAGGUUUCUUCGGGUUUCUACUGCGUUUCUACUGCUUCAUUGCUUAUCUCUGCUUCUCUACUCUGCCCUGAGGCUUCUUCGUUUAUUGAUUGACCUGCAAUGGCAUCGUCUACUGCUUCAUUGCUUAUCUCUGCUUAUCUACUCUGCUACUCUACUCUGCACUACUUGCUUCUGCUUCUGCUUGCUCUUAUGUUUGAAAACUUCAUCAGCUCUGAUGUUGCCUUCUUCAAAACUCCUCUGCCUUUUCUUUUCUUGAACUUAAAGAGUUGCUGCGGAGCUGCACUUCGUUACUCUGGCAGACGAUGUGCUUCUGCAGUGUUUACCGCUUUUGGUUUAAUCUUUGGUUCGCUGAUGAUUUGAGUCUUGCAAAGGCCCGCAUAAACGAGACUCUUUUGCAUGUAUGUGUUGAAUAUUGCAGAAGCAGAUAAUCUUUUAGUCUAAAUUCUAGUGAUUUCGAUGUUGCUCUGCUUGAUUCUAAAAAAGCCUUUCGAGUGCAACAAAUCAAAGCCAAACUCUGGCCUAGUUUAUGUAUUAUUUUUUGCGUUCGUCCCAACUCGCUACUCUUCGGCCUCUUAAUGAGAUUGGUAAUAUCUUUUUUGUUC